CUGACAUUAAAAAUCACAGGCUUAUGAUCAGAGAAUACGUUAUCACCGAUCUCAAUAUUCGACACAGACAAUCCAUAAGACAGAAUCAGGUCUAAUGUGUGUCCGUGUUCAUGUGUGGGACCCGACACACACUGAACCACAUUAAAAGAGGCAAUAAGACUUAGAAAGUCCUUCACCAGCCGCUUAUCGGGACAGCACACACGAAUAUUAAAAUGCACAAUAUUUCUCCUGUCUGGAUUAAAUUUCAGAAAUACAGUUUAGAUUUACUAAAUAUUCCAGGAAUUCUUGCUCUCAGUUUGACCAUAGAAAUGAACUUGUUGUUGAGGCAGUUUGUGUUUGAGUUUUUCUGCCUCGAGCUUCAUCACCAGUGAUGUUCAGGACUCAUUCUUGUAUUUUACACUCUCUGAUGUUUUCUUUUCUUCAUGUCUAGUGUGUGAAUCAUUUCUGGUUUGUCUCUUCAGUGUCUCAUGUGGCCCUGCAGCUUCUCCUCCUCCACCUCCUCCUGAAGCCUUCAUCUUCUUCAUCAUCAGCUGCUCAGUGACUCUGUUGGACGUCUCACCGUGUGGCAGCAGCUCAGGAGUUUGCAGUCAACCAAGGCCGACUCAGAAUCACUCCCACCGGGAAGAUCUGUGAAGGAAGGUCCACCCGGCUGGUCCAGAAGCUCCGGUCCAGCAGAGCAGCGUCAGGAUGGAGACGUAACCGGGUGAGUUAACUAGAGAGGCGACACAUUCACAUAGAAAAUCCAACAAUUCCUUCUGUUUUUACAGUUUAUGACUCUGGUAAAUGGUGUCAUUUUUCAAAGCUGGUGGGUUUUGGGCUUCACAGAUUGAACCUAAAUGCUUUUCUUAAACAAACUGCUGAGCUGCUGCACAGUGAAAUGUUUGAGUGGAGCUCAGGAUGAAAGCAUCAGAGCUGUUUUACAUGUUUUUAUGUUCAGCUAAUAUCAUUUCCUCUGGACAAUGUUUGUGGUGUUAGAAGUGGACGUUUGUAGGGAGUUUUCAGUUGUGAUACUUUAAUGCAUAAAUAUUUGCAGUGGUGGUUUCACUGCAAGCAUCUACUGAUGUCACCAGUGAAGUAAAUAAAAACAGCAUUUGUUGAACUUUA